rnacentral:misc_RNA from 1 species
GAUGAAGAACGCAGCGAAAUGCGAUAAGUAGUGUGAAUUGCAGAAUUCAGUGAAUCAUCGAAUCUUUGAACGCACAUUGCGCCCCUUGGUAUUCCAUGGGGCAUGCCUGUUCGAGCGUCAUUUGUACCUUCAAGCUUUGCCUGGUGUUGGGUGUUUGUCCCUCGGGACUCGCCUUAAAGUCAUUGGCAGCCAGUGUUUUGGUUUUGAAGCGCAGCACAAGUCGCGAUUCAAGGCUAUCCGCCCGCUUCCACAAGCCUUUUUCACUUUUGACCUCGGAUCAGGUAGGGAUACCCGCUGAACUUAAGCAUAUCAAUAAGCGGAGGA